rnacentral:lncRNA from 10 species
GGGCGGGGUUGGAGGAGCUCAGAGCACUGGCCCAGCGCUGCCCCCAACUUGCUGUGUGCUCUUGGACAAGUUAUCUCCCUUCUCUGGGCUUCAGAUAACCCAAGGAUCCUUACAUAUCUUUAUAGCUACAAAGCCCUGUGAGGUUUUGAAAAACUUCCUUGGUACCCAAAACCAGGUCUGAGGCACAGUCAGUGAAUACCUGUUUAAUGAAUGCAUGCAUAAAUGAAUGAAUGGAUGAUCCAGCUCUUCCUGGAGCAGGCACGACUUCCACAGAAACAGAGCAAACGCUAGCCGUAAGCAGAAAGAACGUUAUAGCUCCAGCGCUGAAUGAGACAUCUUUGAUUCUGUGGUGAUGCGGACUUUGUGCCUCUCUGUGAGGAAUCACUUUGUUCCAAUGACGCAAUUUUCCUCACACUCCGGAAGUGUCCUGCACUGCCAGAAUCGCCCAGCUUCCCGGCACACCUAUCAACCAGUCGUUCCCAGCACUGCCCAGUAUGCAGCCUCCAGGCAGAGGGCCUGGAUGUCUUGGCAGGUGUUUCCGAAAAAUCCAAUCCACCCUCCAAGGUGGAAAGUGUGCCAUCUCUGCCCAUAAUCCAAAUGGCGUGCCUGAGGCAUAGAAAGCAGCUUUCAGGGAGGCCUUCCUUCCUCUGAGCAAUGGUGGCAUCAUCAGAAAAGUGGAGCUCCUCCAAAAGGAUCUGCUGGAAGCAGAGGACGCCCAUGUCGCCUGGUGACUCCCUCUGACCCAACAAGUUGCAGCACCUCUGCUGGGCUUUGCCACUGCCCCAUUUUUGCCAGAGCCUCACCCUGGUGGGGCCCCACCUCUGGGAAGCCCCAGCGCCUGCAAGAUUUUUUCCUCUCGUGACAGGGAGCAGCAUGCGGAGGGCCCUUGCACAACCUGGGUCUUCAGGAAGGUGAGUGCUCUGCCCAGGGGCAGUGUGAGCUCUGCGUCCCUGCCAAGUCAGAGGCGGGACCAUCCGAAGGGCCUGUGGCUGGGGUCUGCUACACCGAGCCUUGCGGGCCCUCCAAGGGGUAGGGUACCCUGAGG